GUUUAGUUGACGUUGGGAGACUUAAAUGGGCGAAGAACAAAGUGUGGUUCAAGCCACAUCCUUUUUCUACACCUCAGAGUCUCUUGUUCAUUGUUUGUGUUCUGGAACCAGACAAACUGCAGGUCAUUGUUGCACUGCUGAUGUGGACAGGAGCCUCACACACAUAAAGUCUCACAGUGAUCAGAGUGGAGGCGACACCUGACUGAUUUGAUCUUUGUUCUCUGGACUAAAUGAAAAUGCUGGUCAUCUUUGGAAUCUUGGUGAUGUUCACUGAAGCUGGAGUGGGUUUGCUGUCCAUGAACCCUGUUUGUAGAUUUAAUCAGAGUGAUCCAUGUUAUGGAGCUGUGGGACGACCGCUGUACCUGCAGCUGCCAUAUGAGUAUGAAUUACACUUAAAGAAGAUCAUCAAUGGAGCUCCUACUGAGCGUAUUUUCAAAUUUAUAAACCAUAAAAUCACAUUAAAACAUCCAGAUUAUCCAAGAUGGCAGUUUGUUGCUGAUAACAGAACCAUGAUAAUCAGCAGUGCAGAGAAAAGAGACUCAGGAAGAUACAUUUUAGAUACAUUUGAUUCAAGAGGGAAUAACAGAGUUUAUCAUCUCCAGCUGGUUAUUGAAGCUGUGGUGUCCUCAGUGACUGUGACAGACAGCUGCUUAUCAAUUGAGAAGAGGAACGUUUACUGUUCGUCUGAUGGAGAUAAUGUGCAAUACAGCUGGACUUUCCAACAUACACACCAACUGGCUGAUGUGAACCAGACUCUUCUGCUGGACAAGGAAGUUCAUGGAAGUGUCACCUGCUAUGCUCAGAAUCAUGUUAGCCAUGGGAAAAAAACUAUUGAGAUACAGCAGUGUCCUGAUCCUACAACUGUGACCCCCAUUUCAACUCUGAAGCCUAAAGUGACACCAAGGACACAAUCAGGUAGUGGUACAAGUCUGGCAGUGACUGAUUGCUCCUCUAACCCUCAAGUGCCUCUCAGUUUUCAGAAUAAGAGAAUAGCUUGA
ensembl:lncRNA